CUUCAUGUAAAUUAUCCCUGCUGAAGUAGAGAGAUGAGACAAUCUGACGGCUGCCUCAGGCAUUUCACAUAUAACAAUAGCAGCUUAAAGGCAGAAGAAUGUAUCUGUCCUCAGUGUGGAAAGGAUCGCCACUCUCAAAUUGGCCUUCUUAGCCAUAAGAGCACGAUACCAUAGUCUUUUGAGACUGAAGGAUGCCAAUAGAAUAGGCAGAAGAUGAACGUAUUGUUCCAAGGAAUUCUUAAAACACGUACAAUUCAGCAAAAAUAAGGAGGGGGGAUCUGAAGAUUACUUGAAGGACCACCUGCUCUCCCACAAUCUGCACAGCACUCUUGAGAUCUUUUAACAGGACUCCUUUUGCAUUUACAUUUGAACAUGUAUAUAUUGUACACACACACACAUAUAUAUAUACCAUGCGUACAUUUAACAUCAAUGGCUUUAUUCUGCUUUUUCUGUGAUGAGGCUAUAUUGAUUUAGGAGGAAGUUUAAAAUAUUUAUUUCUAUUAGGACUUUUGGAGAUUUCUUAGCUGGUUUGUUUUGUUUGAGAUGUGAUUAUGCAUCAAUGUUUGCAAGGAUUUUAGAUCCGCAAGAAAAAGAGAGUGCAGCAUAUACAUUUUGAAAUAAAUAAUGCAGGUAGCUAGUAGAAAUGAUCACCCUUCAGAGGCCAUCAAAAGAUUAUAAAUAAUUUGGACCUUCUUCUAAAAGAUGGGAGCAUUAAAAUAAUGAUAAAGAUGUAUAACCUGUACUCUAAUAAGGGAUACAAAUUGACACAAUUGGGCAAGAAAGAGAUGCUACAUUUGCAAUCAAUAAAAAUAUAAAAGUUCAUAUUACAGGUAUUUGGGAAAGGAAUCAAAAGUACAAGUACCAAUAAUUAGGUUAAGGUUAGUAACCCUGUAAUGUGAAUCUAUUUAUUUCUAGUUUGUUUUCCCAUUCAUGAAAUAGAAGAGACAAGCAGGAGUGAAUGACCAUGCUGAUUAUUCAUUUGUGACUUAGUAAAUUAGGAUUUGUUGCUUUACAUGCUUCCCAGAGGUAGUACUGCCCCUUUUAGGUAGAAAAUAAAUCAAUAAUGUAAUAAAAGUGAUGUGCUUUAAACAAACAAAAAGCUUUUCUGGUUUUAAUUAAAUCUAGCAAAUCUUUGUCCUUUUCAUAAGCUUCAUUGGCAACUUAAACAAGCCACUGAAAUACUUUUCAAAUUAUAUUGAAUGCAGACAUAAGUGACAUCAAGAUAACUUCUAUAUUACUACCAUUUCCCAGUCCUUCAAAAGUAGUUCCAAUAGUUUUUUAUAAAAAUGAUUCACGAUUCUCAUUCAAUUCCACUGAUCUAAAAGUAAGGAGCAAAGAAUGUUAUUUAAUCACUGUCCACCUUCAAAGUGUCAUAGGCUUUGGAGUAACAAGAAAUGGAAUCACCUUCACUGCAUAAAAAAGGGAUAUAAAACAAAAAUGGCUUUACUUCCCAUCUACAUUCUCACUUUAUUUUGUCUAUAGCAGCCUGGCCAUGUAGAAAAAAAUCUCAGCUGUUCUUAUGAGAGGUACUGCAGUUCAAAAGGUGGUUAAGCCACUUUUGAAUGAUUUGAAGCCAGGAAUCAGGAGUUGUCCUAUGAUCCAAAGAACUAAACACCCUCCCACACACCUCUAUGAGAGAAGGAGAGAAAUAAUAGUUUCACUACAAAUGCAUCACAGCUGAACUAGAAAGCAGCUGACCUUGGUUGCCAUCAUGAAAUCAUACAAUGGCACAACUUAUUCUGGAGCGAUGCAAAUAAUCUGAACUAUUUUAAGCAGAAAAAACAAUUGCUACCAACCUGCCUUCCAUUGAGGACCUGUAUACUGCACGAGUCAAAAAGAGGGCUGUGAAAAUGUUUACAGACUCCUCACAUCCUGGACAUAAACUGUUUCAACUCCUACCCUCAAAACGACACUAUAGAGCACUGCACAUCAGAAUAACUAGACACAAGAACAGUUUUUUCCCAAACGUCAUCACACUGCUAAACAAAUAAUUCCCUCAACACUGUCAAACUAUUUACUAAAUCUGCACUAUUAUUAAUCUUCUCAUCGUUCCCAUCACCCAUCUCCAUCCACUUAUGACUGUAACUUUUUGCUUGUAUCCUUACGAUUUAUAUUGAUAGAUUGUUUCCUGAUUGCUUAUUUGUAGCCUAUGACGAUCAUUAAGUGUUGUACCUUAUGAUUCUUGACGAAUGUAUCUUUUUUUUUAUGUACACUGAGAGCGUAUGCAC